rnacentral:tRNA from 1 species
CUCCCUGUGGCUCAGUUGGUAGAGCAUGGUGUUUGCAAUGCCAGCAUGAUGUGUGCAACGCCAGGGUUGUGGUUCAAUUCCCACAGGGGGC